rnacentral:rRNA from 1 species
AAACUGAAGAGUUUGAUCAUGGCUCAGAUUGAACGCUGGCGGCAGGCUUAACACAUGCAAGUCGAACGAUGAUUAUCUAGCUUGCUAGAUAUGAUUAGUGGCGGACGGGUGAGUAACAUUUAGGAAUCUGCCUAGUAGUGGGGGAUAGCUCGGGGAAACUCGAAUUAAUACCGCAUACGACCUACGGGUGAAAGGGGGCGCAAGCUCUUGCUAUUAGAUGAGCCUAAAUCAGAUUAGCUAGUUGGUGGGGUAAAGGCCCACCAAGGCGACGAUCUGUAACUGGUCUGAGAGGAUGAUCAGUCACACCGGAACUGAGACACGGUCCGGACUCCUACGGGAGGCAGCAGUGGGGAAUAUUGGACAAUGGGGGCAACCCUGAUCCAGCCAUGCCGCGUGUGUGAAGAAGGCCUUUUGGUUGUAAAGCACUUUAAGCAGGGAGGAGAGGCUAAUGGUUAAUACCCAUUAGAUUAGACGUUACCUGCAGAAUAAGCACCGGCUAACUCUGUGCCAGCAGCCGCGGUAAUACAGAGGGUGCGAGCGUUAAUCGGAAUUACUGGGCGUAAAGCGAGUGUAGGUGGCUCAUUAAGUCACAUGUGAAAUCCCCGGGCUUAACCUGGGAACUGCAUGUGAUACUGGUGGUGCUAGAAUAUGUGAGAGGGAAGUAGAAUUCCAGGUGUAGCGGUGAAAUGCGUAGAGAUCUGGAGGAAUACCGAUGGCGAAGGCAGCUUCCUGGCAUAAUAUUGACACUGAGAUUCGAAAGCGUGGGUAGCAAACAGGAUUAGAUACCCUGGUAGUCCACGCCGUAAACGAUGUCUACUAGCCGUUGGGGUCCUUGAGACUUUAGUGGCGCAGUUAACGCGAUAAGUAGACCGCCUGGGGAGUACGGCCGCAAGGUUAAAACUCAAAUGAAUUGACGGGGGCCCGCACAAGCGGUGGAGCAUGUGGUUUAAUUCGAUGCAACGCGAAGAACCUUACCUGGUCUUGACAUAGUGAGAAUCCUGCAGAGAUGCGGGAGUGCCUUCGGGAAUUCACAUACAGGUGCUGCAUGGCUGUCGUCAGCUCGUGUCGUGAGAUGUUGGGUUAAGUCCCGCAACGAGCGCAACCCUUUUCCUUAUUUGCCAGCGGGUUAAGCCGGGAACUUUAAGGAUACUGCCAGUGACAAACUGGAGGAAGGCGGGGACGACGUCAAGUCAUCAUGGCCCUUACGACCAGGGCUACACACGUGCUACAAUGGUAGGUACAGAGGGUUGCUACACAGCGAUGUGAUGCUAAUCUCAAAAAGCCUAUCGUAGUCCGGAUUGGAGUCUGCAACUCGACUCCAUGAAGUCGGAAUCGCUAGUAAUCGCAGAUCAGAAUGCUGCGGUGAAUACGUUCCCGGGCCUUGUACACACCGCCCGUCACACCAUGGGAGUCUAUUGCACCAGAAGUAGGUAGCCUAACGAAAGAGGGCGCUUACCACGGUGUGGUCGAUGACUGGGGUGAAGUCGUAACAAGGUAGCCGUAGGGGAACCUGCGGCUGGAUCACCUCCUUA